rnacentral:misc_RNA from 1 species
UUUUUUUUUUCCCUCUAAUUCAUUGAAACCUCGAGAUUUAGUAACAUUUACUUGAGAUAAUUUCAGCCAAAUUAAAAUUGUGCAUACUUUCUUUCCCCUUCUGCUAAUUAAACUCGUACUGUUUACAAUGAUUUUGUUACAUUGAUAUGAAGCUAACUACUUUCCCCCCACUUUUGCUUGAACUUUUUGAUAGCGCGCCUGUGACAUGUGAUGCAUAGUGAGGAUUUCAAUAUGCCACUUAUGCAUGCUACAUAGCUUGCUGAAAAUGACAGAAUUUGGAUGUGAAAAAUAUUAAAAAGUGAUGCAUAUUGUAGAUUUUUAUUUGCUGUUUAAACAUAGUGUGCUGAAAAUGAAAGCAUUUGGCUUUUAGAAAUAUAAAAAAAUAAUAAAAAAUUUCUGCUUGAGUGCCUGCAAUUGUAAGAAUGUAUAGUGACGAGAAUGCUGCCUUCAAUGUAGAAUAUUUGUUUGUUGAGCUUAAUGUGUUAACAGUACUUGUUAGUGCUUUUUACAUCUAUAUUUUAUGAA